rnacentral:rRNA from 1 species
GACGAACCGUGCGAACGUUGUUCGGAAUCACUGGGCGUAAAGGGUGCGUAGGCGGGUCUUUAAGUCAGGGGUGAAAUCCUGGAGCUCAACUCCAGAACUGCCUUUGAUACUGAGGAUCUUGAGUUCGGGAGAGGUGAGUGGAACUGCGAGUGUAGAGGUGAAAUUCGUAGAUAUUCGCAAGAACACCAGUGGCGAAGGCGGCUCACUGGCCCGAUACUGACGCUGAGGUGCGAAAGCGUGGGGAGCAAACAGG